rnacentral:rRNA from 1 species
UACGAAGGGGGCUAGCGUUGUUCGGAAUCACUGGGCGUAAAGCGCACGCAGGCGGAUUGAUAAGUCAGGGGUGAAAUCCCGGAGCUCAACUUCGGAAUUGCCUUUGAUACUGUCUGUCUUGAGUCCGGGAGAGGUGAGUGGAAUUCCUAGUGUAGAGGUGAAAUUCGUAGAUAUUAGGAAGAACACCAGUGGCGAAGGCGGCUCACUGGACACAUAUUGACGCUGAGGUGCGAAAGCGUGGGGAGCAAACAGG